rnacentral:rRNA from 1 species
CACCGCGGUUAUACGAGAGGCCCAAGUUGACAAACACCGGCGUAAAAUGUGGUUAACAGCCCCCAUCCACUAAAGCUGAACACCUUCAAAGCUGUUAUACCCUCAUGAAGACAGGAAGUACCCUCACGAAAGUAGCUUUAAACAAUGUUAUCCACGAAAGCUAGGAAA